AUAACCGGCGCAUGCGUAGUUUAUCUGUUGUCUCAUGCGCCUUCAAAAUUUGGGAUUUUUGUGAACUUUGUUUGCUUCCUCUCGAUUGCCAGCCAAAAAUAAAAUCGGAAGAUGUUCAAUCCUCCCCAACAAGGACCCUCGUCGUCCAGGUCAAGUGGUGGAAGUGGCUUCUUUGGAACUUUCAAAGGCAUUUACCAGGAUGAAUUCAAAUGGUCUGUGGUGAAGAGCGUCGCUUUCUUUGGAGUUGGUGUUUGGAUAGCCACGGAAUGCGCUGGAGUUGACUUCAUGUCUCCUGCACCUUUACCAUGAUCACCUGAAGGCUUUUAACUGAAUUUCCAAUAUUCAUUUAUAAAUAUUACGUUACUCAACUCCAUAUAGUUUCCUAGUCUAAUAAACAGAGAAAAUUGAAACACAAUAACUCCUUUUGGAAUUACCAUCCUGAUUUGAAGCAAAGUCAACUACGAAGUGAUGAAUAAAAUUAAGACUUGUAGAAAAUUAUUACUCAUUGUCAGUCGCAUGCUGAAUAAACAAAUUUAGUGGAACAAAAUUGCCAAUUUAAAAUUGUGGUAUUAUAAUAGGUCUUACGUCAUAAUUGGUCUUUCCAUGUCAUUUCAAUAUUUUACAAAAUUCAAAGUAUUUUCCUGGUGCUUAUUAUGAUCUGCAAGGUUUUUGGUGAUUGAAUAAAAGAAGUUUGCUUUUGGUUUUUUCA